GUCCAACUCCCUGCAGUGCCCAAUGUGGGGCUCGAACCCACGACCCUGAAAUUAGGAGUCUCUUGCUCAGUUACUGACGGAGCUAUCUUCGUUGCUCUUGUUGGGUUUCUUCCCCUUCCCAGGUCAACUGUUCGAGAUCGGUUGAGGCUCUCUAAGGGGGUCUGUUCUUCAUUAAACCCCAUCCAACCAAUUAAGGCGAGCCUUCGGUGGUUGCCCGAAGUGCGAAUUUCGCUGUAGAAGCCUGGACAAGAAACACCAUUUGGCUCUGGCUUGGAGAAGACAUGCAUAUCUAUUUCCGAGGAAGCUUUAGCCACCGCGUGGGAGUGAGUAACCAACCAGUUAUAAAAUGGUAAGCGGAAAUCUGCGGGCGGCUUUAUUGCUGUCGUUUGGCGCCCCCAUCCGUUUUCUCAGCGGCGUUAACACGCGCGAUAUAAUUAUUUUACUUCUUCUCCCGGACCCCCUUUCCUUCGCCAGCCUAAAACCUUCAGAAAACCGACGUCUUCAGCACCCUCUCCUAGAAUCACGAAGCCCCCCCCCCUAACCUCCGAAUUGAUUUCCAACCCAGCCGUCUCCUGGCCCUUCUCCUUUCGAGGAAAAUAGCUGCGGUGCCGAGCGCGCGUUUCGAACUGAGACCCUUCAGCCGAAGGAGGGCUGCAAUCGUCUGGACUCCCCAACUCCCCUUUAUUAGUGUUAUUUUAUAUUUUGCACCUUUUAAAGAAUAGCAGUCCUCGAGUUUAUGUGAGACCUCUUUCAAAGUUUGGCUCUCUUCUCGUGAGAGGGGAAAGUUUAGUGCGCGCCGUAAAAGGCAGUUUAAUAAUCAUCAGCUAAGUAGAUAUUGCGUAACGACGCCGACCGCAGCCAAUGGCAGCUGGUCAUUACUCUCCAGAAAGAAAGCAAAAUAAUACUAAUAAAGUCGUUAUUUGAUGUUUUA